GACGAACGCUGGCGGCGUGCCUAAUACAUGCAAGUAGAACGCUGAAGGAGGAGCUUGCUUCUCUGGAUGAGUUGCGAACGGGUGAGUAACGCGUAGGUAACCUGCCUGGUAGCGGGGGAUAACUAUUGGAAACGAUAGCUAAUACCGCAUAAGAGUAGAUGUUGCAUGACAUUUGCUUAAAAGGUGCAAUUGCAUCACUACCAGAUGGACCUGCGUUGUAUUAGCUAGUUGGUGGGGUAACGGCUCACCAAGGCGACGAUACAUAGCCGACCUGAGAGGGUGAUCGGCCACACUGGGACUGAGACACGGCCCAGACUCCUACGGGAGGCAGCAGUAGGGAAUCUUCGGCAAUGGAAGGAAGUCUGACCGAGCAACGCCGCGUGAGUGAAGAAGGUUUUCGGAUCGUAAAGCUCUGUUGUAAGAGAAGAACGAGUGUGAGAGUGGAAAGUUCACACUGUGACGGUAUCUUACCAGAAAGGGACGGCUAACUACGUG
rnacentral:rRNA from 1 species